rnacentral:rRNA from 1 species
UACGAAGAGGGCAAGCGUUGUUCGGAAUUACUGGGCGUAAAGGGCGCGUAGGCGGCUUAUCAAGUCAGGCGUGAAAUUCCCGGGCUCAACCUGGGGGCUGCGCUUGAUACUGAUGAGCUUGAAUGCGGGAGAGGAUAGUGGAAUUCCCAGUGUAGAGGUGAAAUUCGUAGAUAUUGGGAAGAACACCGGUGGCGAAGGCGGCUAUCUGGCCCGUAAUUGACGCUGAGGCGCGAAGGCGUGGGGAGCAAACAGG